AGUCUUUACGGUAUCUACAGCUGGCAAACACUGAGAGCGCGAGCAUAGAGGGAUUGCUAAUCCAGCCAGCCGCGCCGCCAACAUCUACAAAUACACAGAUCAACUAUCUACUCACAGACACCCGGAGCCCCCACGAGCAAAACUACAAUUGUCCAGUAAAAACAGCCAUGCACAAUAUGUUAAAAAGCUUUCCAGAUUUCAGCCAAUCAGAGAGCAGCACUGCCCAAAUAGAACUCCCUGGAGCAGCAGCGUCACACAUGUGAUGUCAUAACCACUGUCCACCAGAGAGUAGCACUGGGCAGAAAUAACACGGCUCCUGCUCAUUCUCCAUCAGUGAGGGGCCGAUGCUGGACACUGUAGGGACCCGGGAAUGCAGAUUCAUACACAGGUUUGGUUAGUGUCGUUCCAUGUACAUUUCUAUAAUAAACAUGGAAAUCAUCUUUCUUUUCUUUUGUUUUUCUAUCUUUGAUGCAGUAUUUCCAGGAUGAGGAGUCGCAUUUCCGGACCUACAGCAAGAAGUUGGAUGAAGACAUAACCCCUGGAAUCACGCACAUACACAGACACAUUUGCCCAAAUUCUAGAGGUAACCUCCUUUAGUAUGCCCAGAGGAAGGGCAGUACAGUAGCCAUGGAUUCCCUACAGGUUUCCUCCCCUCUGGAGGUUUUUCCUGUCCUGAGUUAGUUACUGUAUGCUCUUUGUGAGUGAUGGGAGGUUACAAAAAAUCCCUACACAAACAUUGUAAUAAAUAAUAAAUAAACUUUCCCCUUUUUUAAACUGUU